GCGGAAAUAGCUCAGUUGGUAGAGCAUUGGCUUCCCAAGCCAAGGGUCGCGGGUUCGAGUCCCGUUUUCCGCU
rnacentral:tRNA from 1 species